GUGCAGCAGUCGCGAAACCUUCGCAAUGCAGGAAACUGCGACGAGGGAACUCCAAGUGCCUACGCUCAGCGUAGGCUGUUCUCAAGCCUAGAAAGCUUGAGGAGUAAGGGCUGGGUAAGACGGGUGCCAUCUGUGGUAGCAGUCAAUAGAUUCGAUUUGUUACUGCAAGGCAUAAGCCGCCGCGGUAAUACCCCGCAGCCCAAGUGGUGGCCGCUUUUAUUGGGCCUAAAGUGUCCGUAGCCGGCCCGGUAAAUGCCUGGGUAAAUCGUGGAGCCCAACUUCACGAAUUCCGGGUAGACUGCCGAGCUCGGGACCGGAAGAGGGAGAGGGUA
rnacentral:rRNA from 1 species